UAGCCUUUAGAAAUGAAGAUUAAUACCCCAUGGUAUGUAUUAGUGGCAUCACUGAUACAUUAAAGGUUACGGCAAGAGAUGAGCAUGCGUCCUAUUAGCUAGUUGGUAUGGUAACGGCAUACCAAGGCGACGAUAGGUAGGGGCCCUGAGAGGGGGAUCCCCCACACUGGUACUGAGACACGGACCAGACUCCUACGGGAGGCAGCAGUGAGGAAUAUUGGACAAUGGGGGCAACCCUGAUCCAGCCAUGCCGCGUGCAGGAAGACUGCCCUAUGGGUUGUAAACUGCUUUUAUACAGGAAGAAACACUCCCACGUGUGGGAGCUUGACGGUACUGUAAGAAUAAGCAUCGGCUAACUCCGUGCCAGCAGCCGCGCUAAUACGGAGGAUGCAAGCGUUAUCCGGAAUC
rnacentral:rRNA from 1 species